CUUUCAUUUCUCACCUGGAGGGAAACUCCCUCACUGAAACCAGUUUUUUGAGUUGGUGAGUGAAUUAUUGACCAUACCUGCCUCUGACCUCCACUGAGUCAAGACUUCUCCACUUCAGCCUGAAGAAACAGAAAAUCCCUUCCUCCUUUCCUCCUGUGAAACCUGUGAAGAUGGAGCCCUGUUUUCACUCUUCAUAAAAGCACAAGCUCUUGGAGACAGCCAGCAGAGGAUUUGACUGAUGUCAUGAGAAGGCAGUUUACAUGGCUAAUGUCAAAUUCCAUCUGUCUUCUCUGCAGUAGGUAGCAGCUAAAAUACCUCUUCAGGUCUUGUAAUUCUAGUUCAACUGUAUAGAGUCUUCCUCAAACGUGUGUUCUUUGGAGAUGUGGACAGCAUUUAUAUGUAGAAUUUUCAAACUCUUUCUAUUGUGGGUAUUUCUCCUCACUUUCCAGCAUAUGUUGUAAACUUGCAUUUUCUUUUCUAAAUUACUUUUAUAUAGUCAAUAAAAUUGAGCCACUCUACAAGUUAUUAUUGUGUUACCUUGUGCUGACUGACAAGAUACAAAACAGGAAACUCAGCUGAAAAGAUACAAAAACAGGAAAGUCACCAAAUGUUAUUUCCUUUUUACUAAGGGCAUACUCCUUUUUUGUUUUCUGACUGUUUUUGAUUAUUUUACAGUGCCUUCAGAUUCUUGUUCCCUCCUCCCUUCCUUACACCCCACCACCCAUAUGAUUUGAAGUUAUCUAUGGGAAGGUUGUUUUGAUAGAAUGAAUUCCUCCACUAUUUGAAGUUCAAUCUCAAUUUUACCUGUCUGGAUCUUCUGAUGAAUGGAAUCAUAUAGUAUAAACUCCAUUGUGUAAACCUUCUUUCAUGUAAUGUAACAUGUUUGUUCUUUAUUCAUAUUGUGUUAUUUAUCAGUGGUUUGUUCUCUUCCAUAGCUGAUUAACAUUCCACUGUAUGAAGAUACACUAUGUAUCCAAUCUCCUGUUGAGACACAUUUGAAAUGUCUUCAAUUUUUUAAUAUUAUGAAUGAAGGAUAGAUGUAUAUUUCACUUGAAGACAAGUGGUAGAUCUUCUCGCAAAAUUGUACCAUUUUAUAUACCCACCAACAACAUACGAGGAUCCAAAUUGCUACAUAUCCUUGCCAACAUAUGAAUGUGGACGUCAUUGUAAUUUUAAGCACUUUAGUGAUUUUUAGUGUUAUUUCAUUGUGAUUUUAAUGUGCAUAUCCUGAAUUCACUAUGGUAAGAACUUUUUUUAUGUGCACCUUGGCCAUUCAUAACUUUAUUUCCAAAUUCUUCCCUAAUUUUAAAAUUAGAAUGACA